GUCGGAUUAUUGGGCGUAAAGCGCGCGCAGGCGGUCCUUUAAGUCUGAUGUGAAAGCCCACGGCUCAACCGUGGAGGGUCAUUGGAAACUGGGGGACUUGAGUGCAGAAGAGGAAAGUGGAAUUCCAAGUGUAGCGGUGAAAUGCGUAGAGAUUUGGAGGAACACCAGUGGCGAAGGCGACUUUCUGGUCUGUAACUGACGCUGAGGCGCGAAAGCGUGGGGAGCAAACAGGAUUAGAAAC
rnacentral:rRNA from 1 species